rnacentral:rRNA from 1 species
AGUGAACGCUGGCGGCAGGCCUAACACAUGCAAGUCGAGCGGCAGCGCGGGGGCAACCCUGGCGGCGAGCGGCGGACGGGUGAGGAAUUCGUCGGAAUCUGCCUUUUUGUGGGGGAUAACGUAGGGAAACUUACGCUAAUACCGCAUACGUCCUACGGGAGAAAGUGGGGGACCGCAAGGCCUCACGCAGAAAGAUGAGCCGACGACCGAUUAGCUAGUUGGUGGGGUAAAGGCCCACCAAGGCGACGAUCGGUAGCUGGUCUGAGAGGAUGAUCAGCCACACUGGGACUGAGACACGGCCCAGACUCCUACGGGAGGCAGCAGUGGGGAAUAUUGGACAAUGGGCGCAAGCCUGAUCCAGCCAUGCCGCGUGUGUGAAGAAGGCCUUCGGGUUGUAAAGCACUUUUGUCCGGAAAGAAAUCCCUGGAGCUAAUACCUUCGGGGGAUGACGGUACCGGAAGAAUAGGCACCGGCUAACUUCGUG